AAUGCACAGUGAGGGAGGCGGAGCAGACGCUCUGCUUUGUCUGUGGCAAUUCGAGGGCCAGCAUCAUCUGCACAGAGCAGGGAUGUGAGCGGAGCUUCCAUCUCCCUUGCGCCUAUCAGGGUCAAUGCGUCACCCAGUACUUUGGAGAGUUCAGGACAUUCUGCUGGGAGCACCGCCCGCAGCAGGCAGUGCAGGCAGCACCGGCACCAAACACGACCUGCGUCAUCUGCAUGGAGCCUGUAGAUGACAGCAGGUCGUACAGAACCAUGGUGUGCCCAGUCUGCCAGCACGCCUGGUUCCACCGGGCCUGCAUUCAGAGAAUGGCCCUGAGCUCUGGGCUUGAAUUCCUGUGUCCCUACUGUAGAGACAGCCAAAAAUUUCAUCACGACAUGCUGAC